UGAUUGGCCGCAGGGGCGAAACAAUGAUCAAUAAGGUUGUGCUUCCAGGAUGAGGCUAUCCCUUGCACACCGGGUGUGCUAACGCCUGCAAUGUCCCAAAUAUGGGAUACCGACUGCAGAAUUUGUGGUUGUGGGGGAUUAAGUUCACACUCUCCCCUG